CCGCCUCCUGGCAAGUAGGCCCUGCCUCCCGAGUCCUGACUUAGUCAUGUUGAGACCUGGUCUGCUUCUGUAUCUAGAUCCACGGUGUCCUCCAGUCCUAACACGCCUCCCCAGACACCCAGAAAUAGGACUCAUAGACUUGCCCUCAGAACCAGCCCCCGCCCGCCCCACGUAGUCGCAGCCUCCAACAGCGCAAGUGGCUGGUGAGCCUCAGUCAACAGCCCCCUCCAGCCUCGCAGCCACCGCACAGGCCUGCUUUGCACUUGGAUUGUCCCGACCGUGUUCCUGGAACUUGGGGGUAGCAAAAGAGAUAUGCAAACAAACCGGAAUGGAAUGGCACUCGCUCAACCUCUGGGGAAAUCCGCACUCCAUAAAUGACCAAGAGGGCCCGGUACAGAAAUGCUACAUCCGUGUUCCACGGAAACCCACUUCAUUGUUCAUCACUUCAUUUUGAUUUUGUGACGACACCGGCAAAAGUUGUGUGUUUACGCUCUUGGAGGCUUUCCGAACAGGAUGUUUCUCAGUGAAAAAGUCAUGCAUCGGGGGCAAGUCUGACAUCAGGCGUUUCUUUCACGGAUCGUGCCUUUGGCGUUGGAUCUCAGGCACUCUUUGACUUGUUCUAGAUCCUGAAGGUUUUCUUCCAUAUUUUCUCUAAAAUUUUAUAGCUUCAUAUUUUACAUUUCAGUCCGUGGUCCAUUUGCAGGGUUUUUCUUUUUUGUUAUUUUGUCGUCUUGUUUUGUUUUGUUUUGUUUUUGUAUAAAAUGUGAGAAUAAAGUUGAGUUUCUUUUUUCUUUUCUUUCUUUU
rnacentral:lncRNA from 1 species